rnacentral:rRNA from 1 species
UGCGUAGGCGGCGCGCUAAGUCAGUGGUGAAAGCCUCCCGCUCAACGGGAGAAAUGCCAUUGAUACUGGCGUGCUUGAGUACGGACGAGGUAGGCGGAAUUUAUGGUGUAGCGGUGAAAUGCAUAGAUACCAUAAAGAACACCGAUAGCGAAGGCAGCUUACUAGACCGUAACUGACGCUCAGGCACGAAAGCGUGGGGAGCGAACAGGAUUAGAUACCCUGGUAGUCC